GGUCCUGGGCUGUUGGCUUUGCAGUGCUGGCCUGUGGCCUCCCUUGACAUCGGCUUUGGAACCAGACUUCCCCACCCCUGCGUGGGAGGUGUGAGGGGCCAGAGACGGGAGGCAGGAAGUGAGUGCGGAUGGGCUGCCUGGACAGCUGUGCGGGGAACAGAGCACAUCUGUCUGGUGCUCAGGGUCCCAUGUCUCCAACAUUGAGAAGCCGCCCUGACCUCUCGCCUCCCCGUCCACACGGUCUUCCUCCUCGGAGAGCCCAAGCAUCCUGCACUGCAGCCAUGCAUCCCCUCAGAGUAACUCCAAGCAACUCUUCCCUCCCAAGCAUGAUCAAGGGCAAAGGAAUAAAAUGACAGCAUGCCGUGGGCUGAAUGUUUGCAUCCCCUCUAAAUUGCCACACGGGGAUAUAAGGAGAAGGUGGCUGUCCCCAGAUGCUGGAUUUGCCGGACUUGAUCUUGGACUUCCCAACAAGCCUCCAGAACUCUGAGAAACAAGUGUCUGUUUCUGAAGUCACUCAGUCUAUGGCAGUUGUUAUAGAAGCCCAACUAGAGGCACAGUUAUCUCCUGUGAGAGCUGAAAGAAGUGUGGAAAGUCACCUAGUCCAGCCCUUCCUCCGGUUGCUGCUUGAAUCCUGUCCCCAGUGUCCCCAACCAAGACUUGUUUACCCUGGGCUCAGGCUCCUCUGGGGAUGGAUGGGUUGGUGAUCAGUGGUCAGAUAGUAAAUGUGCCGCUCUCAUGGCUGGAGCAGUGUAUGCUGGGGCUGGGUGCCUGGGUUCAGAUCCUGCCCUGCCCAUCCCUGAUGAAUGACCCUUGACGACUUAACCCUUCUUUGCUUCUGUUUCCUCCUCAUCUGUAAAAUGGGCACAAUACGAGUGCAAACCUUACAGGGUUGUGUGAGACUGAGAUGAGGUAAUAUGUGUCAAGCAGUGCCUACCCUGCUAAGCUAACUAGGGGAAGUUCUUCUAUCUCCCUAGACUAACUGCAUGGUUGUUUCACCUGAAGACCCACGGAACAAGAUUAAAUUUUCUCCUAUGUGACUGCUUUCAACCAUUUCAUUCAUUCAUUGCUCAGAUUUCACUAGGUGGCUCCUUCAUGCCAGGUACAU